GAGGUUUCUAUGUGAACCACAUUCACAUGUUUUCAAGGAACAUAAAAACUAAAAACUAAAUGAAUUCAUAAAUAAAGUAUAAUUGACGUCAUAAUGAACACCUGCUGAACCAGCAGAGCAUGGCGGCGCCCCGUCAUCAUCACUCUCACCUGGGAUGUCUCCAGCCCGCCCUGUGUAGGAAGGCGGCCCUCCUUCCUGUCG
rnacentral:lncRNA from 1 species